GCAGUAGAACGCUGAAGAGAGGAGCUUGCUCUUCUUGGAUGAGUUGCGAACGUGGUGAGUAACGCGUAGGUAACCUGCCUUGUAGCGGGGGAUAACUAUUGGAAACGAUAGCUAAUACCGCAUAACAAUGGAUGACACAUGUCAUUUAUUUGAAAGGGGCAAUUGCUCCACUACAAGAUGGACCUGCGUUGUAUUAGCUAGUAGGUGAGGUAAUGGCUCACCUAGGCGACGAUACAUAGCCGACCUGAGAGGGUGAUCGGCCACACUGGGACUGAGACACGGCCCAGACUCCUACGGGAGGCAGCAGUAGGGAAUCUUCGGCAAUGGGGGCAACCCUGACCGAGCAACGCCGCGUGAGUGAAGAAGGUUUUCGGAUCGUAAAGCUCUGUUGUAAGUCAAGAACGGGUGUGAGAGUGGAAAGUUCACACUGUGACGGUAGCUUACCAGAAAGGGACGGCUAACUACGUGCCAGCAGCCGCGGUAAUACGUAGGUCCCGAGCGUUGUCCGGAUUUAUUGGGCGUAAAGCGAGCGCAGGCGGUUUGAUAAGUCUGAAGUUAAAGGCUGUGGCUCAACCAUAGUUCGCUUUGGAAACUGUCAAACUUGAGUGCAGAAGGGGAGAGUGGAAUUCCAUGUGUAGCGGUGAAAUGCGUAGAUAUAUGGAGGAACACCGGUGGCGAAAGCGGCUCUCUGGUCUGUAACUGACGCUGAGGCUCGAAAGCGUGGGGAGCGAACAGGAUUAGAUACCCUGGUAGUCCACGCCGUAAACGAUGAGUGCUAGGUGUUGGAUCCUUUCCGGGAUUCAGUGCCGCAGCUAACGCAUUAAGCACUCCGCCUGGGGAGUACGACCGCAAGGUUGAAACUCAAAGGAAUUGACGGGGGCCCGCACAAGCGGUGGAGCAUGUGGUUUAAUUCGAAGCAACGCGAAGAACCUUACCAGGUCUUGACAUCCCGAUGCUAUUUCUAGAGAUAGAAAGUUACUUCGGUACAUCGGUGACAGGUGGUGCAUGGUUGUCGUCAGCUCGUGUCGUGAGAUGUUGGGUUAAGUCCCGCAACGAGCGCAACCCCUAUUGUUAGUUGCCAUCAUUCAGUUGGGCACUCUAGCGAGACUGCCGGUAAUAAACCGGAGGAAGGUGGGGAUGACGUCAAAUCAUCAUGCCCCUUAUGACCUGGGCUACACACGUGCUACAAUGGUUGGUACAACGAGUUGCGAGUCGGUGACGGCGAGCUAAUCUCUUAAAGCCAAUCUCAGUUCGGAUUGUAGGCUGCAACUCGCCUACAUGAAGUCGGAAUCGCUAGUAAUCGCGGAUCAGCACGCCGCGGUGAAUACGUUCCCGGGCCUUGUACACACCGCCCGUCACAAACAGGGAGAGUUUGUAACACCCGAAGUCGGUGAGGUAACCUUUUGGAGCCAGCCGCCC
rnacentral:rRNA from 1 species